rnacentral:rRNA from 1 species
AGUGAACGCUGGCGGUAGGCCUAACACAUGCGAGUCGAACGGCAGCACAGUAAGAGCUUGCUCUUACGGGUGGCGAGUGGCGGACGGGUGAGGAAUACAUCGGAAUCUACUUUUUCGUGGGGGAUAACGUAGGGAAACUUACGCUAAUACCGCAUACGACCUACGGGUGAAAGCAGGGGAUCUUCGUACCUUGCGCGAUUGAAUGAGCCGAUGUCGGAUUAGCUAGUUGGCGGGGUAAAGGCCCACCAAGGCGACGAUCCGUAGCUGGUCUGAGAGGAUGAUCAGCCACACUGGAACUGAGACACGGUCCAGACUCCUACGGGAGGCAGCAGUGGGGAAUAUUGGACAAUGGGCGCAAGCCUGAUCCAGCCAUACCGCGUGGGUGAAGAAGGCCUUCGGGUUGUAAAGCCCUUUUGUUGGGAAAGAAAAGCAGCAGGUUAAUACCCCGCUGUUCUGACGGUACCCAAAGAAUAAGCACCGGCUAACUUCGUG